ensembl:lncRNA
GCAGCAUUUACUUAACUUCUUAGCCUAGUAGUUAUUCAUAUUGUAAUAUGUAGUUUGGUGAUCUAUUAUUUUUUUAUUUGUUCUUCUCUUUCUCUGCAGGUUCCUUAAUCCCUGUCCCUUUAAAAAAAACAGCACCUCAUUACAUCAAAAAAUAAAAAAAGGCACUUUUAAGAGCCACAUUUGUUUUGUAUCUUGUUACUCUCUCUACUGUUGUAUUGUGUUCUCUCUCUCUUGCUGUCUUACUGUCUCUCCCUCCCCUCUGAGUGGGGUUUUUGUUUGUUUGUUUUGUCUUUUUUUGUCCCUGAGUGUUUAUAGUGUGUUUAUAUUUUGUGCCAUGUCUGAUCUUGAGAUGGACCGUCUCCUGAAUGAGAUGAGUGACCUUGUCGAUCAGGCUGAACAUCAAGCUCACCUCCAACAGCUCAUUAGCAUGCACCAGGAAGCAGAACCAUCCACCGGUCAGCCUUCCACCAGUAAUCCAUCCACCAGCCGGCCAUCAAAAAGCAAGCAAGACGUUAGGUGGAUUAAGAGGGACAGUGAUGGAAACAUUAUUUACGGCAGGCCCAGAUCAUCCCGGAAACAAGCAGCAGGUCCCAGUCACAGCCAGAGUCGAAAGACUGGUGUCUCUCAUAUCAGGGCUCCUGAAACCAGUGCGGAAAUGACCAGUGACUUUCCUUCCGUUACUGCAGAGUCCUUCCUUCAAGAGCUUAAAAGCUCACUGUUUGAGGAAAUACAUGAGGAUGAAACGGUACUUCAAGCCUCAACAGACUGGUCGACCCGAAAGAGCCUCAUAUCAGGGUGGUGGGAGAAAGAGAGACCCCGACUGGUCAACACCAUGGUGGCUGGACAACAUGCGGCAACUCGGAUCUGCCAACAUUGUGGAAAUGGUCCAGCCGUAAUCCGUUGUUGUGACUGCCGACCACACCCAUUCCUCUGUGGCCAGUGUGAUGUCAGGGUCCACCGAGGUCAAGUGUUCCACAACAGGGAUUCGAUGACACAUGCAUUCUUUCAUCCAUUGCCUCCCACAACUUGUGUUGUGGAGAGGGUUCUAACCCAGUGUGAGCGUCUUGUACCUUUGGAGAUGCCAGAGACAAUAUGCGGUUGUCUACGAGUAUCGUCCAGUGUCAUCGCAGGACAGUCCAUAGUUGUGGUUACAAUGAAUGGGCGAUAUGAUCUCAGAUUGCCUCAGAUUAGAUGCAAAGCAUGUGAAGCCACUUGGAGUCCUGGAGUGGAUGACCUGAUCCGUAAUGACUACUGGCCUGCCACUUCUCACUAUUCAACUGUGUAUGCAACAGAUGUCCUUUUUUCUUUUUGAAGAGCUGAAGAUGGCAGCACCAGGGAUGUCUAGCCAAGCAUUUCUUAGAAUGCUGGAUCAACGCACUGUUCGAUUUGGCCGUAGUGGAAACAUCACAGCAGACAGCUUCCGGAAAAGCUUCUUGGAGUGGGAAGCUGUCCGAUUCGAAGUGGACAAAUUAUGCCAGGAGGACCACUUUGACUGCCCAGCGUGCAGCCCAGACAUGCUUGCAGUAUCCGUUGAUGGAAACCGUAAGCACUACAGAUUCAAGAGUGCAGCAAGAUCGGAGGAAAAAGCCAUCUUUGAUGGCGUGUUCAUCGCAAAUGAUGAUGAUGUCGCAAGAUUCGUGGACUAUGUCCAUACCUCAACCAGUCAUGUCUCUGGAAGAGGUGUCUGUGGAGGGCAAUGGUCAGCGGCGCGUGAAACUUCUCAGAAGUCCUCAGGAAAAAAACAGACGAGGAGGGCCUGGAACUCGCUGUAUGUCGUCAUGGGGUUCUCCUUCGUGCCCUCAAUAUGUUCAGGGGGAGAUUUUUU